rnacentral:rRNA from 1 species
UACAGAGGGUGCAAGCGUUAAUCGGAAUUACUGGGCGUAAAGGGCGCGUAGGCGGCCUUCUAAGUCGAACGUGAAAUCCCCGGGCUCAACCCGGGAACUGCGUCCGAUACUGGAUGGCUUGAGAUUGGGAGAGGGAUGCGGAAUUCCAGGUGUAGCGGUGAAAUGCGUAGAUAUCUGGAGGAACACCGGUGGCGAAGGCGGCAUCCUGGACCAACACUGACGCUGAGGAGCGAAAGCCAGGGGAGCAAACGGG